rnacentral:tRNA from 1 species
GCGCUCGUAGCUCAGUUGGAUAGAGCACUGGUUUCCGGUACCAGGGGUCGGGGGUUCAAGUCCUCCCGGGCGCACUA